rnacentral:lncRNA from 1 species
GAGAGCCGAAGGUGGGGCAUGAGUCAUUCUCCUCCUACCCCGUUCCAGCCCUCCCUGGGGGUUGCGCAUGCAUGCCCUAUGUCGAGUCCGUUCAAAUGAGGAGGGACUGGUAUAGAGCCUGCGCGUGGGUGGCACGUGAUCUCUGUUUCGCAGGAAAAGGAUCUCAGAAGUGGAGACUGAGCCCAGGCCCUCAGACUGCCCACCCAGAGCUCUUGGAGUCUGAAUUUGGAAUCUGGGGAGUCCACUUAGACCCAGUAACUGCCCUCCUUUCCCCCUACUCCCCCAUUCCAACUCAAUAGGGUCCUUUCACCUCUUUUCAUCCAUUACUCACCUGCAUCCCUAGGAUGAUUGAUAUGUAUCUUUCCAUCGUGGCCCAGGGCUCUUUCUGCUGCUGACAUCACCUUGUGGUUGGAAGGAGGUUCCUGGAGGAUGGAAGAGUCCUUUUUGGCUCCGCUGUCCAAGGCAUUUCUUUCUUUCUCUGUUCCAAGUGGCUGCCGUGGUGAAGACUGGGGUACCCCUAGGACCACAGAAUUUAGAGCGGGAAGGGAGUCCCACCUGCUCAUUGAACAGAAGAGGAAACUGAGGCCCAGAGAAGGUGAAGGGACUUUGCCAAGGUCACACAGGGCCAACCCGCCCCCACCUUCCCUCACCCUCUGGAUGAGAAGCUCAUCUCGUGCUUCACUUAAAACAUGGAGACCGUCAGCUGUGAAAGCCUUGGCUAUUCUGAGCAACACAAAGAUCCAGAGAAUUCCAAAGGACCCGUAGUGAAAAAAUGCUCUCCUCCUCCCCAGUGAGAACUGAUGAACUCUGAAUGCAUGCUCUGAAAGCAUACUUUUUAAACUUUUAUUGUUCUUUUUUUUUGUCUAUAUUUUCAUUUGCAAUGCGGCUAAUAUGGAAAUAUGUUUUGCAUAACUUCACAG